rnacentral:ncRNA from 1 species
AAACUGAAGAGUUUGAUCCUGGCUCAGAUUGAACGCUGGCGGAAUGCUUUACACAUGCAAGUCGAGCGGCAGCACGGGGGUAACCCUGGUGGCGAGCGGCGAACGGGUGAGUAAUACAUCGGAACAUGCCCAGUCGUGGGGGAUAACACUUCGAAAGAAGUGCUAAUACCGCAUACGUCCUGAGGGAGAAAGCGGGGGAUCGCAAGACCUCGCGCGAUUGGAGUGGCCGAUGUCAGAUUAG